UACGUAGGGUGCAAGCGUUGUCCGGAAUUAUUGGGCGUAAAGAGCUCGUAGGCGGUUUGUCGCGUCUGCUGUGAAAACUCGGGGCUUAACUCUGAGCUUGCAGUGGGUACGGGCAGACUAGAGUGCGGUAGGGGAGACUGGAAUUCCUGGUGUAGCGGUGAAAUGCGCAGAUAUCUGGAGGAACACCGGUGGCGAAGGCGGCGUCCUGGACCAACACUGACACUGAGGAGCGAAAGCCAGGGGAGCAAACGGG
rnacentral:rRNA from 1 species